rnacentral:rRNA from 1 species
GACGAACGCUGGCGGCGUGCCUAAUACAUGCAAGUAGAACGCUGAAGCGAGGAGCUUACUCUUCUUGGAUGAGUUGCGAACGGGUGAGUAACGCGUAGGUAACCUGCCUUGUAGCGGGGGAUAACUAUUGGAAACGAUAGCUAAUACCGCAUAACAAUGGAUGACACAUGUCAUUUAUUUGAAAGGGGCAAUUGCUCCACUACAAGAUGGACCUGCGUUGUAUUAGCUAGUAGGUGAGGUAAUGGCUCACCUAGGCGACGAUACAUAGCCGACCUGAGAGGGUGAUCGGCCACACUGGGACUGAGACACGGCCCAGACUCCUACGAGAGGCAGCAGUAGGGAAUCUUCGGCAAUGGGGGCAACCCUGACCGAGCAACGCCGCGUGAGUGAAGAAGGUUUUCGGAUCGUAAAGCUCUGUUGUAAGUCAAGAACGGGUGUGAGAGUGGAAAGUUCACACUGUGACGGUAGCUUACCAGAAAGGGACGGCUAACUACGUG